rnacentral:rRNA from 1 species
AAGAGUUUGAUCCUGGCUCAGGAUGAACGCUGACAGAAUGCUUAACACAUGCCAAGUCAUUGGCGAAGCUGCGCUUGCGCAGUCUAGCCAAGGCGGACGGGUGAGUAACGCGUAAGGAACUUGCCCUGCAGACAGGGAUAACAGACGGAAACGACUGAUAACACCUGGUAUUGUCAGGCUGGCGCAUGCCGGCCUGAUGAAAGGAGACGCUGCAGGAGAGCCUUGCGUCCUAUUAGCUAGUUGGUGGGGUAACGGCCCACCAAGGCGAUGAUAGGUAGCCGGCCUGAGAGGGUGAACGGCCACAAGGGGACUGAGAUACGGCCCUUACUCCUACGGGAGGCAGCAGUGGGGAAUAUUGGACAAUGGGGGCAACCCUGAUCCAGCAAUUCUGUGUGCACGAAGAAGGUUUUCGGAUUGUAAAGUGCUUUCAGCAGGGAAGAAGAAAGUGACGGUACCUGCAGAAGAAGCGACGGCUAAAUACGUGCCAGCAGCCGCGGUAAUACGUAUGUCGCAAGCGUUAUCCGGAAUUAUUGGGCAUAAAGGGCAUCUAGGCGGCCCUGUAAGUCUAGGGUGAAAACCUGCGGCUCAACCGCAGGCCUGCCCCGGAAACUACAGGGCUAGAGUAUCGGAGAGGUGGACGGAACUGCACGAGUAGAGGUGAAAUUCGUAGAUAUGUGCAGGAAUGCCGAUGAUGAAGAUAGUUCACUGGACGGUAACUGACGCUGAAGUGCGAAAGCUAGGGGAGCAAACAGGAUUAGAUACCCUGGUAGUCCUAGCUGUAAACGAUGAUUACUGGGUGUGGGCAUGAAGAGUGUCCGUGCCGAAGCAAAUGCGAUAAGUAAUCCGCCUGGGGAGUACGGCCGCAAGGCUGAAACUCAAAGGAAUUGACGGC